rnacentral:rRNA from 1 species
UACGGGGGGAGCAAGCGUUGUUCGGAUUUACUGGGCGUAAAGGGCGCGUAGGCGGUCAGCACAGUCAGUUGUGAAAUCUCCGGGCUUAACUCGGAAAGGUCAACUGAUACUGUGCGACUAGAGUGCAGAAGGGGCAACUGGAAUUCUCGGUGUAGCGGUGAAAUGCGUAGAUAUCGAGAGGAACACCUGCGGCGAAGGCGGGUUGCUGGCUGACACUGACGCUGAUGCGCGAAAGCCAGGGAGCGAACGGG